CUAUGAUAAUCGCCGGCCACCACAGUUGGUGGCGGCGCAUUAAAUGGCGUGUGGCGGCGAGAUCAAAAUGAGAGCAGCAAGAGACGGAGAUAGGGGAACAGACGAGAGAGAGAUGAAGGCGUCGGAAGAGGAGCAGCGCCGCCGCUCACGGCAGCGACGGUGGUGGCGGCGUCGGUGUUUUGGUCCUUCGAAUUUCAUACCGGUCGUCGACGAACAGGUGCCGACGAUGGCGGCGGUUAUGAAAGUGCUAGUGUCGGGUCAAGUCAGUCAAGAGUCCGAGGUGUUGAGUCGCAUACGGGCCAUUUUCAGCUUCGGGUUUUAAUCUCGGGUCGACAGUGGUUUCGGGUCAGAUGUUGGUCAGAAUAUGGGUUCGGGUGCUUGAUUCAGUUACAGUUCAACGUCAGUUCAGAAUUGGUCUGGUUCACGUCAGUUUAGUUCAGAUUAAGGGUUCAAGUCGAAUGGUCAGACUUUGUUCGGGUCAAGGUUUGGUUCAACGCGGUUUGACUCGGUCAAACCGAGUCAACUCAGUCAACAUCGGUUAAACAGGUCAACGCCCGGUCAAUACGAAGGACCCGGUAAAGUUUUAAGCGUAGCGAAUUAGUUACGUUAGAUUUUAUUUAGUUAUCGUGCACCGAGCUCGAACCGAUACCUUAGUGUUACUUUUGGCAUUUUGAUAGGAAUUUUUGAUAUAGUGAUUUAAUUGUUGAAAAUGGUUGAAUUUUGGAAUUAUAACGACAACUUUUAUUGUCGGG